UCAACAAAUUGUGCUGUAAUUGAUGUUUUAUUUGAUUUCCUUAAUCAUCUUUUUGAUAUUGAAUUGAUAUCACUGACUAUUACUUUUUUACAGAAUUUGCUGCACAUGCUGCAGCACAAAUGAACACCAAACAACUAGCAGAUAGGAACAGAGAACAUGCUACACAGGCAGCAACGAGGAGAAGAAAUGUACAAUGGCACUAACUCACAACAAAACAGAGUCUUUGUUAAUCAUAUGUUGGAGGUGUGCAAAACAUUGUGAAUACGAAAAAGGGAAAAGAAAUGCAGACGAAGAAAACGUAGCAGUCAUAAAGAAUAAGUUAUCCAAGUACGUUGU